rnacentral:rRNA from 1 species
AUUGAACGCUGGCGGCAUGCUUUACACAUGCAAGUCGAACGGUAACAGGGUGCUUGCACCGCUGACGAGUGGCGAACGGGUGAGUAAUGCGUCGGAACGUGCCGAGUAGUGGGGGAUAACGCAGCGAAAGUUGUGCUAAUACCGCAUACGUACUGAGGUAGAAAGUGGGGGACCUUCGGGCCUCACGCUAUUCGAGCGGCCGACGUCUGAUUAGCUAGUAGGUGAGGUAAAGGCUCACCUAGGCGACAAUCAGUAGCGGGUCUGAGAGGAUGAUCCGCCACACGGGGACUGGGACACGGCCCAGACUCCUACGGGAGGCAGCAGGUGGGAAUUUUGGACAAUGGGCGAAAGCCUGAUCCAGCCAUGCCGCGUGUCUGAAGAAGGCCUUCGGGUUGUAAAGGACUUUUGUCAGGGAGGAAAUCCCUAGCGUUAAUACCGCUGGGGGAUGACAGUACCUGAAGAAUAAGCACCGGCUAACUACGUGCCAGCCGCCGCCGUAAAAC